GAGGUGGGAGGAGUUCCCUGCAGCCUGCGGGGCCAAGAAGAAAGUGCUAAGCUGAGGAGCCGCAGUCGGAGGACCCCAGGGACCCGACAGGAAGUCUCCGUACGACCCCAACGGAUCCACAUGCCCGGAAGCCCAGGCGACACUAAGCCAGCGCUGGGGAACUGACGUACUCCUGCAGUCGCAGGGCGCUCCAUGCCUCUCUGUCCUCUUCUUUGUUGUGGGUAACGUUCUCUGCGGGAGACCUGAGGUUUUCCAAGGGGGACAUGCCAGCUACACUGGCCUUGGCGCCCUGAGCUAAGCACCAGGACUCACAGCCUAGCACGAAGGCAGGUAGCACCUUCACCCGCCGCGGACGAUAGGCGCUCUCCUGUACCUCCUUUAGCUCGCGAGGCCCGCCCUUCGCGAGGUCCCAGAGAAAAGCAGGCUGUGGAAAACUGGGCGCCCCCUUCUUUCACCCACCUUCUUACCCCUGUCAGCGCCGAGAUCUGUAGCAGAGGUUCCUGGUCUGAACCACCGAUUGGCAAAGAAAGCUGCAGAUUAAACUUCUCGUUUUACAGAGAAGGAAACUGAGGCCCAGACAGCCGAAGGAGAGGCAGUCUAUGGAGCGCAGCGGUAAAGAGCAAGGGGUUGGUGGCCCCAGAAUGGAACCUCAGCUCUGCCAGGUAACCAACAGCUGUGUGACCCUAGACGAGUUCCGCAGUCUCUCUGAGCCUCAGUUUCCUUACUGGUCAAACGGGAUAAUGGGAUACUAGCGCCCACCUCAUAGAGUUGUUCUGAGGAUUAGAUAGGAGAGCAGUGUGGGCCUUUGACUCAAUCAACUUUACAGUUUUUGUUACUACUACUGUUUAAGGACAGGAAACAAGUUAGUGGCAACGCCGAGCUGAAACCCGGGUCUCUCAACGUCCAGUUGGAGGUUUUACCCACCACCCCUCUACCUCUUCAGAGCUAAUGGGAUGCAGAGGCGAGGACAGCCCCUGGAAAACCAUGUGGCGUUGAUACACUGGCAAAGCGCAGGCAUCCCGGCCUCGAAGGUGCAUAAUUAUUGCAAUAUGAAAAAAUCGAGGCUGGGUAGGAGCAGGGCAGUGAGGAUUUCUCAACCCUUACUUUCACCCCGGCGCUGUCCACUGCAUCUGACAGAGCGCGGAGCUGGGCUGCUACAGCCGCAACCCCAGGGACCAGUGCGCACGCCUGGGCCGCCCUCCGGGAGUCACCCAGCGGCCGCGGACAACUGAAUAAACACCCCAAAGCGCUGCGGUCGGUCAAGGGCGGGGACAGCCACACUGCGCGCGGGGCCCGCAGGCCGUAAUAAAGAGUGGCUCGACCUCGCUGCUGCCUGUCGCGGGAGAGGAACAAGCUUUCGACUAGCGCCUCUCCCCGGGGCCCGCGCCCCGAGCCCCACGCGCAAGACAGCCCAACAGCUGUUCCUCCCCUCCCCGCCGACUCCAACUCUUCGGAAUCUGCCCACUCGGGGCUGCAGGGCAAGUGUUUAGGAUGGUUCCCAGCCCCGCGCUGGCGGUGAAAAUUUCAACGUCAUUCCUUCAAUUAAAAAAAGGGGGGGGCAAGGGAGGGGCUUUGUGAUAACUACUCCCAGCUUCUUCUGAUCAUUUCAAAAUUAAGUCGAUUUUUUUUAACCAGUCCCCACUUACUGUCCUAACUCUCCUCGCUGACCCUAUCUGGGAGCCCGGAACCGUUAGGUACUGCCGAAUGCGGUGCAAAAUUUCCCCCUCUCCCCCAGUUCGCAGUGCCUGGAGCCGCUGGGGUUACUCGUCUGUUCUGAUGCCACCGCGAGAUGGUCCCCGAGCUCCCCGAGAGUCCUCAGUGAAAGGAUUCCGCGGCACUGCCUCUAUUAUUAUACCGUAAAUCUUUUUAAAUUCUGGAACUAAUUAUAUAGAGGAUAUGUCUCAAUUUGUUCUGCAUUAAUGCCACAGUGGGGAUGGAGGCCAGGCCGUGGCCAGAGCAGAUACGUAGGCCCAUGAAAUUGAUGAACUGAGAGUUGCUUCCAGUCCUGAGCGCACCAUCUGGAAUUCCAGUCUGAGGUUACAAUUAGAACUCCUGACCCCAGAUUCAACUUUGCAAACAACAGGGGAAAAAAAUGGGGAAAAGAAAAACCACGAGAGAGGGAAAAAAAAUUAUUCUGCACCUGU
rnacentral:lncRNA from 1 species